GACGAACGCUGGCGGCGUGCUUAACACAUGCAAGUCGAACGGAAAGGCCCUGCUUUUGUGGGGUGCUCGAGUGGCGAACGGGUGAGUAACACGUGAGUAACCUGCCCUUGACUUUGGGAUAACUUCAGGAAACUGGGGCUAAUACCGGUUAGGAGCUCCUGCUGCAUGGUGGGGGUUGGAAAGUUUCGGCGGUUGGGGAUGGACUCGCGGCUUAUCAGCUUGUUGGUGGGGUAGUGGCUUACCAAGGCUUUGACGGGUAGCCGGCCUGAGAGGGUGACCGGCCACAUUGGGACUGAGGUACGGCCCAGACUCCUACGGGAGGCAGCAGUGGGGAAUAUUGCACAGUGGGCGGAAGCCUGAUGCAGCAACGCCGCGUGCGGGAUGACGGCCUUCGGGUUGUAAACCGCUUUCGCCUGUGACGAAGCGUGAGUGACGGUAAUGGGUAAAGAAGCACCGGCUAACUACGUG
rnacentral:rRNA from 1 species